UGGGAAUUUUGGACAAUGGGCGCAAGCCUGAUCCAGCCAUGCCGCGUGCGGGAAGAAGGCCUUCGGGUUGUAAACCGCUUUUGUCAGGGAAGAAAUCUUCUGAGUUAAUACCUCGGGAGGAUGACGGUACCUGAAGAAUAAGCACCGGCUAACUACGUGCCAGCAGCCGCGGUAAUACGUAGGGUGCAAGCGUUAAUCGGAAUACUGGGCGUAAAGCGUGCGCAAGGCGGUUUUGUAAGACAGAGGUGAAAUCCCCGGGCUCAACCUGGGAACUGCCUUUGUGACUGCAAGGCUUGAGUGCGGCAGAGGGGGGAUGGAAUUCCGCGUGUAGCAGUGAAAUGCGUAGAUAUGCGGAGGAACACCGAUGGCGAAGGCAAUCCCCCUGGGCCUGCACUGACGCUCAUGCACGAAAGCGUGGGGAGCAAAACAGGAUUAGAUA
rnacentral:rRNA from 1 species